GGAAGACUUGAACGGUUGAGGAUCCGUAACAAGGCACAAUGGCUAUACAGUUAUUCAUGUCAGUCGCCCUGUCUGAUGUUCUUGACACCAGUCUGACACCAGCCAUGACAAGCACUUUGUUCAACUGUGUGAUACAGUGUUACUCAAGCACUGGAUGUUCCUCCAUCUUCUACAACAAAGCGACUCACCAAUGUGCAGUGUCAUCGCACGUAUAUCGAGAAGGCGACAGUGUUCUAGCAUCUUCCACGGGAAUGAAGCUGUACACUUGGAACCAAGCUGGAUGUCCGUUAUCAGCUGGCUGGAUUUACCACCGUCCCUCAAAUCUCUGCUACAAGCGCAAUGAUUACAAGGUGGACAUAACUACGGCAGAGACUGCGUGCAGAGAUGCUGGAGCAAGACUUGUUGUCGUGGACACCGCCGAGAAGAACGCUCAUCUCCUAACAUUA